CAGCCGCCGCGGUAAUACGUAGGUCCCGAGCGUUGUCCGGGUUUAUUGGGCGUAAAGCGAGCGCAGGCGGUUAGAUAAGUCUGAAGUUAAAGGCUGUGGCUUAACCAUAGUACGCUUUGGAAACUGUUUAACUUGAGUGCAGAAGGGGAGAGUGGAAUUCCAUGUGUAGCGGUGAAAUGCGUAGAUAUAUGGAGGAACACCGGUGGCGAAAGCGGCUCUCUGGUCUGUAACUGACGCUGAGGCUCGAAAGCGUGGGGAGCAAACAGGAUUAGAUACCCCGGUAGUCCCUGUCUCUUAUACA
rnacentral:rRNA from 1 species